GCCUGGUUGGCUCAGUCGGUUAAGUACCUGACUUUGGCUCAGGUCAUGAUCUUGCAGUUUGUGAGUUCAAGCCCCACAUUGGGCU
rnacentral:tRNA from 1 species